rnacentral:rRNA from 1 species
GACGUAGGAUGCAAGCGUUGUCCGGAAUUAUUGGGCGUAAAGAGUUCGUAGGCGGUUAUCUAAGUCUGGUGUUAAAUACUGGAGCUCAACUCCGGCAUGGCAUUGGAAACUGGAUGGCUAGAGUGCGGUAGAGGUCACGGGAAUUCCAGGUGUAGCGGUGAAAUGCGUAGAUAUCAGGAGGAACACCGAUGGCGAAGGCAGCUCGCUGGGACGGUACUGACGCUGAGGCGCGAAAGCGUGGGGAGCGAACAGG